rnacentral:lncRNA from 1 species
UUUGUGCUGUUGUUUAUGAGGAAAAAAGUAAUUUUAUUUGAAAAAUGGCCAAAAAGUGAGUUCUUCCCAUUCUUGAUCUGCAUUUCAGGUGUCAACACUCCUGCAUUAAUUUUCCUUUCAGUAUGUGUGUUUCAAUUAUUAUACAUUGAUUUAAAACCACAUAUUUUCUACCCACUAUGCCUGUUUCUUUCUUUCAUUUAUGUAGAUCCAAAUUUCUAUUUUCUUUCUGUCUUGAAGAACUUCCUUUAAUCAGAUAUCUCUUUGACAUACUGAUUUCAUUUCCUUUGAACAUAUACACAAUAGUGAGCUUGCUGGAUCACAUGAUAGUUCUAGUUUUAAUUUUUUGAGGAAACUUCAUACUGUUUUCCAUAAUGGCUGUCCUAAUUUACCACCAAAAGUGUAUGAGAGUUCUCUUUUCUCCACAUCUAUACUAGCAUUUAUGAAGCUUCGCUCGCUCACCUGCCACUCACUUCCUCUAUGUGGCCUGGUUUCUAACAGACCACGGACAGGUACUGGUUCAUGGCCCCAG